rnacentral:lncRNA from 1 species
UCAACUUCAGCUCCUUUGGUUUUUUCAUCUCUGAGGCCGAGACCAGCAGCCAAGAACACCAUAGGUAAGCUUAUUCAGCCUCAUCCACCGCGCUAAGUUACCAUUGAUGAAGUCGAGACCACCACUGUUGACGCCGAGAUCACCAUUGUUGACGCCGAGACCACGAUCAUCAAGCUUCUUCAGCCUACUCCGCCUUUUUUACUAAGAACAGAAAAACAAAACCGGAAUUAGAACACGGAGAGUGAGAGAGAGACGAAGCCGGAGACACCGCUCUGUAACACCACUUCUUCUCCUUCCCGGUUCCUUCUUUGAU